GUUACUACAACGUUGCUCCACUUUCUCUGACCUGGUCCUAGACCCAGCCCCGGAGUUAGAAUUAACUCCACCAUGGAGGAGGCUGACCGAAUCCUCAUCCAUUCCUUGCGCCAGGCGGGCACGGCAGUUCCUCCAGAAGUGCAGACUCUUCGAGCUUUCACCACGGAGCUGGUUGUAGAGGCUGUGGUCCGAUGCCUUCGAGUGAUCAAUCCUGAUGUGGGCUCUGGCCUCAGUCACUUGCUA
rnacentral:lncRNA from 1 species